AUCUUGAUCCAAACGAGAGUUUAGGUAUCAAGAUCGAUCAGCAUAGGGGGCAGUUCCACGACAGUGGGCUGUUCUACUUGAGUGAUCCGAGUUCUAGACUGGUCUUUAAUCGAACUUGAAUAAUUGUUUGGCUCACACUUGUUUAACACCCGAUCAAACCACCCUAGGCUAGCAUUUUAGUUAUCUGAAUACUUUAAUUAAUCUUGUUACUUGUUUCUCACGAAACCCUCAAAUCUUAAAACCCCC
rnacentral:lncRNA from 1 species